rnacentral:misc_RNA from 1 species
GACGAAGAACGUAGCGAAAUGCGAUACGUAAUGUGAAUUGCAGAAUUCAGUGAAUCAUCGAAUCUUUGAACGCACAUUGCGCCCGCCAGCAUUCUGGCGGGCAUGCCUGUUCGAGCGUCAUUUCAACCAUCAAGCCCCAGGCUUGCGUUGGAGCCCUGCGGCUGCCGCAGCCUCCUAAAAGCAGUGGCGGGCUCGCUAUCACACCGAGUGCAGUAGAUUACUCUUCGCUCAGGGCGUGCAGCGGGUUCCGGCCGUGAAACCCCCUACUUUUAAAGGUUGACCUCGGAUCAGGUAGGAAUACCCGCUGAACUUAAGCAUAUCAAUAAGCGGAGGA